rnacentral:rRNA from 1 species
ACGGAAGGCAGCAGUGGGGAAUAUUGCACAAUGGGCGAAAGCCUGAUGCAGCGACGCCGCGUGAGUGAAGAAGUAUCUCGGUAUGUAAAGCUCUAUCAGCAGGGAAGAAAAUGACGGUACCUGACUAAGAAGCCCCGGCUAACUACGUGCCAGCAGCCGCGGUAAUACGUAGGGGGCAAGCGUUAUCCGGAUUUACUGGGUGUAAAGGGAGCGUAGACGGUUUGGCAAGUCUGAAGUGAAAUGCGGGGGCUCAACUCCUGAACUGCUUUGGAAACUGUCGAACUAGAGUGCAGGAGAGGUAAGUGGAAUUCCUAGUGUAGCGGUGAAAUGCGUAGAUAUUAGGAGGAACACCAGUGGCGAAGGCGGCUUACUGGGCUGUAACUGACGUUGAGGCUCGAAAGCGUGGGGAGCAAACAGGAUUAGAUACCCUGGUA